rnacentral:rRNA from 1 species
GACGAACGCUGGCGGCGUGCUUAACACAUGCAAGUCGAACGGAAAGGCCCUGCUUUUGUGGGGUGCUCGAGUGGCGAACGGGUGAGUAACACGUGAGUAACCUGCCCUUGACUUUGGGAUAACUUCAGGAAACUGGGGCUAAUACCGGAUAGGAGCUCCUGCUGCAUGGUGGGGGUUGGAAAGUUUCGGCGGUUGGGGAUGGACUCGCGGCUUAUCAGCUUGUUGGUGGGGUAGUGGCUUACCAAGGCUUUGACGGGUAGCCGGCCUGAGAGGGUGACCGGCCACAUUGGGACUGAGAGACGGCGCAGACUCCUACGGGAGGCAGCAGUGGGGAAUAUUGAACAAUGGGCGGAAGCCUGAUGCAGCAACGCCGCGUGCGGGAUGACGGCCUUCGGGUUGUAAACCGCUUUCGCCUGUGACGAAGCGUGAGUGACGGUAAUGGGUAAAGAAGCACCGGCUAACUACGUG